rnacentral:lncRNA from 1 species
GGGGCGGAUCCAGGAUUUGAAAGUACCCCGGGCUAAAUUUAAAAGGAAGGUUAUAUUGUAAAGUGAACAUAAAAUUUUAUAAGAAAAAAAUAAAAUACACAUAAUAAGAUAAGAGCAUUAGAAAUCUUACACUAAAUAAUAAUUACUUUAAACAAAAUAAUUAUAUAAAAAUAAAAAAUAAAAAUGUAGUCAAUAGUUAUUAUUGAGGUUUUUAGCCGCAACCUAUUCUCUAAAACUUGUUGUGAAGAUUGUGCAUUCAUUCUUUUAUCAAUAUGUUUACAUGGAUCCUUUAAAUUGCUCCAUUUUUCCAUGGCGGCAUUGUGAAAAGAACCAUGACUCCCUUCAUGCAGUGCAAAAGGACAUUUUUUGUCACAAGAAACAUACUUCCAAUUUUGACAACCAUCAACAAUGAAUGCAUCAAACUUAGUUGAUGUAUCAUAAAAAAGAAAGCAUGGAAAACAAAAUGCUUUAUCUUUUGACAAGGAAAUUUUGAGAACCAAGAAAAUUGAAAUCGACGAUUUUGCAUACCAUGUUUGGUUGGUGGGUAUUUUUGUAGCUCGGGUUGGAAUGGUCCCAUAUUUAUGUACGCCAUCCGUACAUCUUCUCGUUUAUCAAUAUGAUAAGUUUUGAUUGAGAAGC